rnacentral:rRNA from 1 species
AUUGAACGCUGGCGGCAGGCCUAACACAUGCAAGUCGAACGAGCGGCUGACGGGUGAGUAAUGUCUGGGAAACUGCCCGAUGGAGGGGGAUAACUACUGGAAACGGUAGCUAAUACCGCAUACCCUCGUAUGGACCCAGAUGGGAUUAGCUUGUAGGUGGGGUAACGGCUCACCUAGGCGACGAUCCCUAGCUGGUCUGAGAGGAUGACCAGCCACACUGGAACUGAGACAAGGCCAAGACUCCUACGGGAGGCAGCAGUGGGGAAUAUGGCACAAUGGGCGCAAGCCUGAUGCAGCCAUGCCGCGUGUAUGAAGAAGGCCUUCGGGUUGUAAAGUACUUUCAGCGAGGAGGCGUUACUCGCAGAAGAAGCACCGGCUAACUCCGUGCCAGCAGCCGCGGUAAUUC